rnacentral:lncRNA from 1 species
AGCAUGACUGCUGAGUAGAUGGGGUGAAAAUACUGAUAAAGAAUGGAAUAAAACUAUAAAGGUGUAUUAUCUAAUGCUUUUAUGUUUUUUAAGGAACAUCCAUCACAAAAUUAAAAGGACAUUACAAGGUGAGCAUACCAACAGAAGCAUGGGUAGUGUAAAAAAGACAGAUUACUUCCCAGUCCCAUAUAUACCAUGAAAAAUCUGAGUUGUACAAGAGAGAUAGCAAGGAAGAUUGGGAAAAGAUUAGCCACACACAGUUGUGCCAACCCUUUUUAAUAAACUGCAUAAUGAAAAAGACCCACUUCAACUCCAUGAAAGGCUGGGCAUAUAUAAAAUACCCACUAAAUACAACAAGACACAACAGCAGGUGGCAUAUCUAGGAGUCACUACUAGGACAUUAACAUUAGAGAUAGGAAGAACAUAGAAAAAUAUUGCUAUGGGAAAAUUAACUACAGCUCUAGCAGUCAAAGCAUAUAACAAUGACAUAAAAAUAGAAUGGGAGCAAGCUAAGAUAAUUAAGCCUGUCACUAUAAAAUCCCAGGCAAUACUAGAAGAGACCAUCAAGAUAAUACGGAGACAAGAAAAAGACAAGCUCAUUAAUGAUAGACUAGCAGUAGAGUUGCCAGUGCCAUGGAAAUAUUUAGUCAGAAAGCAUUCGACAUAGAGUAUGAAAUAAGAUCAUCAUGAAAGACCAUCAAGACACAGUUGUUUAAAAUUACUGGAGAAGGCAGCACUAUGUAGUAUAUCUUUCAGAGUUUUCUUUUUAUUUUGUUUUUUGUAUUUUUAUGCUUUAUUUUGUCUGUUUG